GGCAUAGCUCAGUGGCAGAACAUCUGGUUUGUGUACAGAAGGUCCCUGGUUCAAUCCCUGGGCAGGGCUG